CAGACAAGUCCCUGAAUAAUGCCACAACUCUCUUUUUUAAACAGAUUAUCAUUUUAAAAAACAAACAGCAAAGAAAAUAAAUAUAUGAUAAUAACACCAAUAUAAACAUUGUCUGUGGAUGAGCUUAAAAUAAUAAAAGUGACCAAUGAAUGCAAUGUUAAAGCUUUUGAAAAAGAGAUGGUUUUAUGUAUUUUGACCACUUAAAUAACUGUAUCAUAGAUAAUGUUUGAAUGUAACGGUUGUAACUUAACUGUGUACACUUUGACAAAAUCACAUUCUGCCUUACCAUUCUCUGGAGGGGAUGCAAAUAUUAUAGAAAGCUUUUUGUGUGUGGCUUAAAUAAAGUAUAUUGUUCCAUCUUUGGAAGUAGCACCAGUCCUAUCCCAUCGACAGUUGGGAGCACAAGCCUUUUAAUGUACAAAGGGUAGCAGUACUUCAGCCAAUCUGUGAUAAAGGGGGGAAAUGAGAUCACUAUGGAAACGGCAGGGAGAAUCUAAAAGGUUUCUUUAUAAAGUAAACGUCUGAUGUUUGUGACUGCGGGGGCAAAAAAAAAUCAUAAAUCUGUAUGAUGCUAUCAUUUCUGAUUUGUUAUUGCAGCAAAUGCCAAGUGUAAGCAGUCUGACCAUGGCUUUAUUAAGUGCUUUCGUUUGCUAAGAUAGCUACUAUUCGACAGCAGAGGAGAGAGAGAGAGAGAGAGAGAGAGAGAGAGAGAGAGAGAGAGAGAGAGAGAGAGAGAGAUGGCAGUGCUGUAGGGGAAAUCUCAUUUGCUUAAAUUUUUCAUCAUACCUUUUUUUUUCUUGUAAUCACAGAGAAAGCUCAGAGCUUAUGCAGUGAGCAACACCAUGAGGUUUCCAGAAAGGCAGUCACUCGGGGAGCUGAAUACAACUGCGAAAGCAAUGUUUCACCCCCUUACGUGUCUGCCUUUGAUCUCAGAUUGAAAAUCUGUGACCCUCUCCCUCCAAUCCAAAAGCAAAUAAAUGCAAAAGAAAAGAAACCUUCAGAACUCAGGCUGGCAAGGACAAAAAAAAAUUAAUAAAGAAGGAAGGAAGGAAGGAAGGAAGGAAGGAAGGAAGGAAGGAGAGACUGCAGUUGUAAUAGCUCCCAUGGACCUGCUUGGACAACAGGCAACUGCCACUGGAUUCACUGGACGAGCUAAACAAGGGUUGCAGGCAGCAUCUCUGGUCCUGCAAAGGACAAGGAAAGCUUUUAGGCUUUCUCUGUACUUGCUGCCGAAGCUCUCACAGAAGCAACAAGACAGUCGCAGCUCUCCUGAAGUCCCAGUUCUUCAUAAUUCAUCUCAAAGCUUGCAGAGAAAGAAAACGAUGAUAUUCUACACAUGGCCUUUCCAGACCAGUAACUUCAUCAGAACAAAGCUUAUAAGAAACUACAGGUUUAUUGAAUGGCUCAUCGAUCCUUCUGAGUUGAAUCCACUUAGAGCAAAAUGGCUGCAGGAAAUCUGCUCGUAUAUUCCAGUCAGCCCCACAGAACGGGGCUGCUUUCUUCAGGAUUGAACACAGCUUUCCAGCAGUGUUGUGAAUGGAAGAAUAUUCAUCAUGCAUGUGUAAAUUGUAGGAGACGUCUUAAAGAAUUUUAUAGAUCUCCUAUCAUGUGUGCGCACAAUGUCACUCAACUUUACUGCCAGUGGAUGAUUGAUCGUGCCCGCCAGCUGCCUAAUAUCAUAAUUAACAAAGUUGCUACCGUGUCUGAGAAGUUUAAUCGAAAAAAAUUGCCAGCAGUAUGAUGCCAUUGUCACCCACAAAGAUCACAAGCGUGGCAGAGUCGACUUUUGGACUAAUGGAGCUGCAGAACUAUGUGGCUGGAAUGAGAAGCACCGUACCUGAAUGGCUAAUGAAGAAAAACAGCAGUGGCGGCUGAUAUUCUUCCUUUACUCAGGAUAUUGUUCUGAACUGAAAUACUAUUUCUUGAUCUGAAAUGUGCUUUCCACAUCAUCAGUUAUAGAUAGGCGCUAGUAAAAAGGAACAUGAUUUAGUUUGGACAAAGCUGUUCAAAUGGCAAAAUCGCUUUCCAGAAUUCAGAGAAGAAUAUUGUUCAAAGGAAUUUCAGAAGUAAGCGUGAGCCUGGGAUGAGACAGAACAUCACAAAAUUCAUGAUGUGAAUUUUACAGGAUAACUCAUUUCAUGUACUGUUUGGGGAAAUGCAAGGUUUUGCUGUACAAUCAAACUGUGAAAACUACAGCCAUGAAAGACCCUCCAUUUAUUACAUUCUCCAAAAAUGUGAUAUUAGCAUGGGAGGCUAAGCUGGAGGCUAAUAAUGAAGGAGUCAGUAAAGGAGGCCAGUGCCAUGGGGGUUAUCUCACAGUCCCAGAUGAUGGCUAAGUUGAAGAAGGCAGAAUCGCUUUUGGAUGACAUUCAGGUCUGAAUGAUGAUUUAGAAAAGAAAAGGCUAUUCUUUCCAAGGUUUUUUUUCUUUCCGUGUGACAGUGAGCUUUCAGCAAUGUAUUUCUGAGACAAAAGAUGCACUACGGACUCAGCCACACCUAAAGGGAAGCUUUGAAAGAAUUGCCAGGUUCACUUUUAAUAAUGAGAUAAAAAAUUGCCCACAUGGAGUCAGCAGAAAAUGAACCAGUGGCAGGCCUGCUGCAAAUAAUUCCAGCAAGGGCCAAGAGACUAGUUGAAAAAUGACUUCAUGAGUUGACUGUUCUGAUGAUGCAGCCCCAACAAGAGAAAUAAGGGUUUUCCACUGCAUGGCACACACAAUUUAGGACAAAGUUAAAUGACAUGCUGAAUGCAUGAUUACAAUUGCAUGUCUUGGAGAGGUCCUAAUCUGCAUCAGAACUGGGGCAUGGGAGAGAAACUGCCGAGGACAUAAAUAACAGCUCCCUUCUUUUGGGGGGUGGGGAAGCUACGAAUCAGGACAAUGACAUGGGAGGAAAUAACACCACAGUCUCAACUCAGAUAAGGGCUUCCUAUGACUUCAGUCACAUGUGUUGCCUAAGGUUUGUCCCUAGAUUAAUUUUAAAGUAUCACUUGUUUGAAUAAAACAAUUCACAAGUUUAAAAGUAAACUGAACCACAGCUUGAGGUUGAUCACUGUACGAAUGACACCUUGUUUUACACAUUUGUUGGAUGAGAUUUGAUGAUAGCAAAGUACUCUGGGGGAGCCAUGGUUGCAAAAGCCAUAAAUUGUCUUAGGAGUAUGAUCAUGAGUCCUUUAGAGUUGCAGGGUUGAUUUGAGUCCUAUGAAAUGCAGUGGCAUGGUUGAGAUUCUUCAUGUGUCAUAUUCCCCAUGCCUGAGGAAGCACUGGCUGUUUCUCCUUAGAGACAGAAGCUCCUCCUGCAAUCAGUUUUUCCACUCCCAUCCCACAAUGGUGAAUGUUAAACAAUGACUAUCUUUUCCAUGUCUGCAACUGCAGAGGGGCCCAGAGCUGUGGAAAGUUUUGGAGGAAUGAAGAUAUUUCCAUAAGAGUGGAUUAGAAGAUUUCAUCCCUUUCUACUUACCUUUGUGAAAGUUGAAUGUGGAGAUUCUCAAGCUGUUUCUUUCUUAAUUUAGGGCUACUGGGUCUCAAUCAAAAGCUGAGAAGAAUUGCUCCUGUUCAGUGGAUUGGGUUUUAUUUGCAGAUGAAUGGAUGAUCUACCACAAACUCAGUACCUAAGGAUGCAGUCAAGAGUCUCAUCUACUCAAACACUUUGCUGCUCAUCUGUGAAGUAGCCUAUGUCCAUAACAACUAAAACAUAAUGUUCCUUUGCAACUAGUACACCAACUAAUUUGCACUUGGACUUUGUGGCAGAAAAUCUACAUGUAACAACACCUGUCCCUUAACUAGUACAUGGCAUUUUUGUGUGUGUUAAAUAAUGGGCAUGAAUACACUAGGUGGACUGACCAGUAUGCAGGUGGGGAAGGGCAGGGAAGGAUGGGGAAAUGUGAGAAAUCACAUACACUAAUGUAUUCUUCCGAUUAUUAUUAUUAUUAAAAAAAUCUAUGCCACCUUUCAUCCAAAGCUCACAGCAUGGUUUACAACAUAAAACCACAAAAAUACAUACCAUAACAACACAAUACGCCACACACCUCCUCACAUCCCAUCUCAUCACUAAAAAGGAUCUAUCAAGCUGGUGAGGUUGAAUUCUGACUGUAUUAGCUGUGGAACAGUGUUUUCUGCUUUUAUUGGGGAGAUUAAGCUGAAUGGUGGGAGAUGCAGUGCACAACUUCACAGUAGUACAACGUUACAGUGGAAUUCAUUUCCACAUCAUGGGAGUGAUGGGCACAAACUUAAAGGGGGUAAAUUCAUGGACAAUAAGCUUAUCUAUCUAUGGCUAGUAGUCAUGAUGGCUAUAGACUAUGUCCUGUAUAUGGCAGUAUGCUGCUGAAUACCAGGUCCUGGGGAGCACAAAUGCUGCUGUAUUCAUGUCUUUCUUGUGGGUCUCCCGUAAUCUAGUUCACUGUGGGAAAGUAGAUGCUGGACUAGAUAGGUCUUUGGUCUGAUAUUAUGUUUUUAGGACUCAGCACAUCUUUGGAUGAAAUAUUAUUGAAAGUGGCUCAACUUUCAACACUCUGCUACAAGCGCAACAUAUGCAUAUGUAUAAAAACACCAAAACCAGAAAUAGCAUGGCAAUGCAUACUAGUUGAAUCAGUAGCACUGUUUCCCAUGUCAUGACGUAAAAAAUGUUUGUUUCACAUAAUAUCAGCUUGACAUCUUGGAGAAUGACAAACAUUUAUGCCACUGGACUUGGUCUCACUCAUACCUGAAAGUAACUUUUUUGCAAAUGUUAUGGAAUAGCUGCAUAAAAAAAAAUAAAAGUUUUGGAAAAUGAAUCCUGUAUAUUAAUAAAUUAUUGGGUUUUUAUUGACAAGCAGGAUGAUGUAACAAAACUUUGUGAAGUGCUGUAAAUUUCUAAAAAAACAAUUUUACAUAUACCCCCAAAGCACAAAAAAAUUCUCAGUAUGACAGAAGCUUCUGAAAAUUACCUUGCUUAUCGUGUCUAAUAAAUUUUGCCUGUUCACUACAUAA